UUUUUCUUUCCUCGCUCUCAUUUCAUCGCCCGACGGUUGUACCUCAGCUCUAAUAAUUACUACUUUUCUCUCUCUCUCUCUCUCUCCCUAGAAAACAAACUCCCAUGGAAAACUAGAUUAUCUUUUCUGUUUCUCACUCCUUCUUUGAUUCCCCCCUUUUUGCUCUCACGGUUAUGGCUGAAUCCUCCAAGGAUGAAUUGCUUCAGCUUGUCAAGCAAUUAAGCUCUUUUCUAUCCGUUAAAAUGUCAAAUUUUUUCACUAUCGCUUUCCAGAAAUUAGAUGUGCUUUCCGUUAGUGCUCUUGCGGGAUUUGCUGUUGCCAUAUUUUUUACUUGGAAAAUAUUUCCAAGUGCCCCACAAAGAAGACAACCAAAGAGACAGUCUGCUAGAGCUAGUAGUUCUGUUAACAAUUUGCCAGCAAAUGCUACCGUGGAGAUGUCUGGUGCUUCUACUUCAUCAGACGAUUUGAGGGCACAAGAUGUUGUUGAUGAUUUCUUUCAGCCUGUGAAGCCAACAUUGGCACAACUUGUGAGGCAGAAGUUGUGUGAAGGGAGGAAGGUGACCUGCCGUUUGCUUGGUGUUGUCCUGGAAGAAACUAGUCCGGAAGAGCUGCAGAAGACUGUAACAGUUAGAUCCUCUGUGCUGGAAGUGUUGUUAGAGAUUACAAAAUUCUGCGACGUAUAUCUCAUGGAACAAGUUCUAGAUGAUGAAAGUGAGAACAAUGCGGUUUUAUUGGAGAUCGCAACAUUCUUGAUUGGUGUAGAGACAGUGCCAAAUAUCAAAUCAAAAGAUGAAGAUCAUGGAAAAGAAGGGCUUUGGGAAAUCAUGGAGAAAUUGGAUUAGUGUUCUUUCGAAUUUUCAAUUGUUGUGAAUGAUUAUUCUAAAGAAUGGUUUAAAUAUUCCAUAGGUCAUAAGCUAGGUGAUGCUUUAUCUCUAAUUCUUUUUCGUUUAGUUGUUGAUGAGAGAGGUUUGAUAGAAGGCUUAAGAGUGGACAAAGAAAACAUGGUUAUUGGUUAGUCACCUUUAAUAUAUAGAUGAUACUAUAUUACGUUCAUCGGGAGACAGGGGAAAAGUCGGGAACACUCUUAAUAUUGAUUUUUAAGAUUUUAGGAUUGAGAAUUAAUUCUCUUAAAUCUAGCUUGGUUGGAAUUAAUAUGGAAGACGAGAAAGUAAGCCUUUUGACUAACUCGACUAAUUGUGAAGUGGUAAGUUUUCUCAUUAAUUUUUUGGGUUUGCUGUGGGAUCUAAUUGUAGAAAAAAGAAUUUUGGGGUUCAAUCGUUGAAAAGUUUUCAAAGAGACUUGAUGGAUGGAAGAAAUCAUCUUUCUCCUUGGGAGGCAGAAUCACUGUUGUCGUAUCUUGCUUAAGGAACAUUCCACUUUACUUCCUUUCCGCCUUUAAGCCCCUAAAAUCCAUUUAGAAUUUUGGAAAAGAUGAUGAGGAAUUUUCUUUGGGAGGGAGGUGGAGGGGAAAAGAGAUCAUAUAGUAUAGUGGCAUAUAGUCAAACUGGUGAUUCAGCACGGAGGCCUGGGUGUAGGGGUAUUGGAGGCAAAAAAUUCAGCAUUACUUGGAACACGGCUUUGGAGUUUGGAGAUUGUGUCGCAAACCAGAUACUCUUUGGCAUUGAGUCAUCAGAAGCAUCUAAUCUCCUAUAUCUUAAUGGGAUGUGCGCGCUAAUCCUGGCUCUUCAUUUCCCUUCCUUUGAAGUCAAUAUCUCAGAAAAGGGUUCUCUUGGCUUUGGAAGAAGCAGGGAUCUUCUCAUCUGGAGGUUUAAUCAAAGACAAGGUUUUGUUUUGCAGUACUGAGAUUGGACGAACAUCAUUCGUACGGCAAUUAGAGCCAGAUUGGCAUAUCG